GAUGAACGCUGGCGGCGUGCCUAAUACAUGCAAGUCGAGCGAACAGACGAGGAGCUUGCUCCUUUGACGUUAGCGGCGGACGGGUGAGUAACACGUGGGUAACCUACCUAUAAGACUGGGAUAACUUCGGGAAACCGGAGCUAAUACCGGAUAAUAUUUCGAACCGCAUGGUUCGAUAGUGAAAGAUGGCUUUGCUAUCACUUAUAGAUGGACCUGCGCCGUAUUAGCUAGUUGGUAAGGUAACGGCUUACCAAGGCAACGGUACGUAGCCGACCUGAGAGGGUGAUCGGCCACACUGGAACUGGGACGCGGUCCAGACUCCUACGGGAGGCAGCAGUAGGGAAUCUUCCGCAAUGGGCGAAAGCCUGACGGAGCAACGCCGCGUGAGUGAUGAAGGUCUUCGGAUCGUAAAACUCUGUUAUUAGGGAAGAAUAAACGUGUAAGUAACUGUGCACGUCUUGACGGUACCUAAUCAGAAAGCCACGGCUAACUACGUG
rnacentral:rRNA from 1 species